rnacentral:lncRNA from 1 species
GGCACCUUAUACACAACAUUUGUUCUAACUUAGAAAGUCGCGGGAAAGCCAGGAAGUAACGUUACAGGCGUCAACAGACAGCUUUGUAAGAGUCUAGUGUGAAAGUGCAAGCUAACUGUUGGCAAGAAGACCCACAGGACCAAUUCAAAACUGGAGCACUCAAUGUGUCUUGAAGAUGAAGUAAAUCUGUGAGUGGAUGACUUUAUAUGCCAGUGAAAGAGAAAGGUAGGGAAAGCAUGCACAUUGACCGAUGGUUAAUG